CGCAGCUAUCGCAGCAUACAGGCGCGCGCCGCUGACCCACGCUACUCAUCAGCCGCUCCAACGGGGAUGUGAUUCAAUUCGAUCGCAAAAGAUAAAUUCCGUGCUGUAUUACACACCCAGAGACAUCCAGCACGAGCAAGCUUGGAAAGUUCGUUACUGCCUCCAGAGGGAACAUAUGUAGUGCGUUAUGUGACACAUUGAGUUCUUAAGAGAGACACGGCAGAUGACAGCUCGUGGAGGUUGUUUCGCGAAAUGUCGAGUUGCUGGAGACGAGGAAGGCACUGCCACAUGCUUUCAGGAAGCGUGCAGAUGCUGUUGUUGGACAGAUCGAGUUUUUCCACAAACCUAUCAGCCUUGCGCUAAAGCCGGCACGAUGGCACGUACCAUAGUUGUGCCGGUGCUGCCGCAUGGUGGUCACCAGGCUGUCGAUGACACCGAUGUUGCAGAGCAUGGCGGGACAUCCCUGCACACUAGCGAGCGAUGACAGCGCCUCCAGCGACACUUCGAUCAGCAACUCGUACCUGAUGAUAAUAACAUAAAGGCUAUGAAGCGAGGAGCUAAAUAUAACAAGGAGAGGAAGCGCCGCCAUAUAUCUGGCCCAAAUUUGGGUUCGGCAGAGACCC